UCAGAAGUGCGAAUGCUGACAUAAGUAACGAUAAAGCGGGUGAAAAGCCCGCUCGCCGGAAGACCAAGGGUUCCUGUCCAACGUUAAUCGGGGCAGGGUGAGUCGACCCCUAAGGCGAGGCCGAAAGGCGUAGUCGAUGGGAAACAGGUUAAUAUUCCUGUACUUGGUGUUACUGCGAAGGGGGGACGGAGAAGGCUAUGUUGGCCGGGCGACGGUUGUCCCGGUUUAAGCGUGUAGGCUGGUUUUCCAGGCAAAUCCGGAAAAUCAAGGCUGAGGCGUGAUGACGAGGCACUACGGUGCUGAAGCAACAAAUGCCCUGCUUCCAGGAAAAGCCUCUAAGCAUCAGGUAACAUCAAAUCGUACCCCAAACCGACACAGGUGGUCAGGUAGAGAAUACCAAGGCGCUUGAGAGAACUCGGGUGAAGGAACUAGGCAAAAUGGUGCCGUAACUUCGGGAGAAGGCACGCUGAUAUGUAGGUGAAGCGACUUGCUCGUGGAGCUGAAAUCAGUCGAAGAUACCAGCUGGCUGCAACUGUUUAUUAAAAACACAGCACUGUGCAAACACGAAAGUGGACGUAUACGGUGUGACGCCUGCCCGGUGCCGGAAGGUUAAUUGAUGGGGUUAGCGCAAGCGAAGCUCUUGAUCGAAGCCCCGGUAAACGGCGGCCGUAACUAUAACGGUCCUAAGGUAGCGAAAUUCCUUGUCGGGUAAGUUCCGACCUGCACGAAUGGCGUAAUGAUGGCCAGGCUGUCUCCACCCGAGACUCAGUGAAAUUGAACUCGCUGUGAAGAUGCAGUGUACCCGCGGCAAGACGGAAAGACCCCGUGAACCUUUACUAUAGCUUGACACUGAACAUUGAGCCUUGAUGUGUAGGAUAGGUGGGAGGCUUUGAAGUGUGGACGCCAGUCUGCAUGGAGCCGACCUUGAAAUACCACCCUUUAAUGUUUGAUGUUCUAACGUUGACCCGUAAUCCGGGUUGCGGACAGUGUCUGGUGGGUAGUUUGACUGGGGCGGUCUCCUCCUAAAGAGUAACGGAGGAGCACGAAGGUUGGCUAAUCCUGGUCGGACAUCAGGAGGUUAGUGCAAUGGCAUAAGCCAGCUUGACUGCGAGCGUGACGGCGCGAGCAGGUGCGAAAGCAGGUCAUAGUGAUCCGGUGGUUCUGAAUGGAAGGGCCAUCGCUCAACGGAUAAAAGGUACUCCGGGGAUAACAGGCUGAUACCGCCCAAGAGUUCAUAUCGACGGCGGUGUUUGGCACCUCGAUGUCGGCUCAUCACAUCCUGGGGCUGAAGUAGGUCCCAAGGGUAUGGCUGUUCGCCAUUUAAAGUGGUACGCGAGCUGGGUUUAGAACGUCGUGAGACAGUUCGGUCCCUAUCUGCCGUGGGCGCUGGAGAACUGAGGGGGGCUGCUCCUAGUACGAGAGGACCGGAGUGGACGCAUCACUGGUGUUCGGGUUGUCAUGCCAAUGGCACUGCCCGGUAGCUAAAUGCGGAAGAGAUAAGUGCUGAAAGCAUCUAAGCACGAAACUUGCC
rnacentral:rRNA from 1 species